UGUUGAUCCGCUUCAGACCAACCGAUUACGAGAAUAUUGACGGACAACUAGCAAAGAUCCGACAAACCUCCACCAUUCAGGAGUACCAAAUCAGGUUUGAAAGGUUAUCUAAUCAAACUCAUGAUUGGUCUCAAAAACAGCUAUUGAGGGCCUUCAUCGAGGGCUUGAAGCCGGAGAUCCGAGGAGAAGUUAAAGCGCGAC
rnacentral:lncRNA from 1 species